rnacentral:tmRNA from 1 species
CCCCUUUGCAAAGCCGCUCCGCACGCCUAUAUUCAACCUGUCCCCUCGGGGACUAUGGGCAUAAACGCGCUCGUAAUAAGCGGAUCGGACCCGGGGGCGGUACCCGGCGGCUCCACCAAAAACCCUCGUUGGGGGAACAAGGGGCCGAAACAGGAUCGACGAACGUGUAAAGGGGUGGCUUUGUCCCGGUGAGAUACCACCGUUAUCGGUUCACAAAGCAUAAUUGCCAACGACAAUCGUGCUCCGGUCGCCGUUGCCGCGUAAGCGGUAACUUGACCGAAAUCUAAGCCCAGGCCUCUAGCAAGGUCUGGCGGGGUUCGCAGGCACCUGGCAACAGAAGCCUGCACU